CUGUUUUCUUUUUUUUUUUUUUUUCAAAACUCCCUUUCGCCAAAAUCCCCAAAACCCUAUAAACCCUAAUUUGCAUCUUCAUUCUCCAUCUUCACUCUGCAUCCUCUAACCUAACCUAAUGAUGAAAUCACUAAUCUUUUCAACACGAUCACCCUCAAUCUUAUCCCCAAAUCUUGUAUUUAAUCCCUAUAACUCGUUAUCCUCCGUUUACAAUUUCGUAUCUGUUAAAAACCCUAAUUUCCUCCGUGGAUUACGCUCUCGUAGACCAUCUGCAUCUUCGUUUUGUUGCUAUUCUUCAAGCACAGAUGUGAAGGGCCGGUGUUACCAACCGGAGGGUGAAGUUCACGUGAUUGUGGGGCCUAUGUUUGCCGGAAAAACCACUACUUUGCUGAGACGGAUUAAGUCUGAAAGCUCCAAUGGCAGAUUUCAGGCUAGGGUCCCGAAUGUUGUCGUUAGCACGGAUGCGACAUUGAAGAACCUAUGUUUUUCCGGAAGACUGAUCGACGCAAUUCGAUUACUAUGUCAAACCGGACGCCAGGUGGGCCCAGAGACGUAUUCUCUUCUUUUGCAAGAUUGCAUAUUCAAAAAAAAUUAUCAUCUCGGCCGAAGAAUUCAUUCACAAAUGGUCACGACUGGGUUCGUUCCCAACACGUAUUUGAACAUCAAGCUGUUAAUAUUGUACGCAAAGUCCGGAGAUCUGGUUACCGCUCAUAUUAUUUUCGAUACAUUAAUCACGCCCAACGUGAUUUCGUGGAACGCGAUGAUUGCGGGAUACGUGCAAAAGGGUCUCCAAGAAACGGGAUUAAAUCUUUACGAUGAAAUGAGACGAAGCGGUUUAACGCCCGACCAGUUCACUUUCGCGUCGGUUUUCAGGGCGUGUGCCACUCUGGCGAUGUUAGAGAAGGGUAAACAAGCACAUGCGGUUUUGAUUAAAAACCAUAUAUGCGGUAACGUUGUUGUGAAUAGUGCGCUUAUUGAUAUGUAUUUCAAAUGUAGCUGUGCGUAUGACGGGCAUCGAGUAUUUAAUAAGUCAUCCGAUAAAAAUGUCAUUACAUGGACUUCUUUAAUAUCCGGAUAUGGUCAGCAUGGGAGAGUCAAAGAGGUAUUGGAAUGUUUCGAUAGGAUGAUAGACGAAGGAUUUAGACCGAACAAUGUUACGUUUCUUGCGGUUCUUUCCGCUUGUAGUCACGGAGGUUUGGUUAACGAGGGCCGGGAUUACUUUCAUUCAAUGAAAAACGAUUACGGGAUUCAGCCCGGAGAAAAACAUUACGCAGCAAUGGUGGACAUUCUAGGACGUUCGGGAAAGUUAGACGAAGCUUACGAGUUUGUGAAAAACGCACCGUGUAAACGACAUCCGGUGAUAUGGGGCGCGCUUCUUCAGGCAUGUAAGGUUUACGGAAACAUGGAAAUGAUGAAAAUUGCUGCGAAAAAUUACUUUGAACUGGAAACGGAUAAUGUUGGUAAGUAUGUCGUUUUAUCGAAUGCGUUUGCAACUUUUGAUCAGUGGAGUAACGUUGCGGAGAUUAGAAGCGGGUUAAAGGAACUCGGGAUGAAAAAGGAGCCCGGUUAUAGUAUGAUUGAGGUGCAAAAAAAGGUUCAUUUUUUCUUUAUGGGACACAACAUGCAUGAACAAACGCAACAAAUAUAUGAGUUGAUCAAGGAUAUGAAUUGCGUUUUAAAAAACGCAGGCUAUUUUCCGGAUUUCAUCUGUACUAGCGUUGAUUAAUGUAUGAGGGACGUGCUCAUCUUUAAUGUGGGUAUGAUAAAUGAUGAUGGAUUUGAUGUUAAAAUGUAGUAGGUACGAGGUGGUAUUACCAGAGAAUUGAUACCACAUAAAAGAAAUGUAGCUGUUAUUAAAUCCAGCAAGGAUACAAGAUAUGCAUUGGAUUCCAUUGUGACGCAUGAUGGAGAGAAGUUACCAUGUUGGCCACUGACUGCUUUAUCAUCAUUCAAAGAAAGAAUCGGUCUUGAAGCG